GACGAACGCUGGCGGCGUGCUUAACACAUGCAAGUCGAGCGGAGCGGCGAACGGGUGAGUAACGCGUGAGUAACUGCCCCCCUCCCUGGGAUAACAGUUGGAAACGGCUGCUACUACCGGAAAGUGGGGGAUGACUCGCGUCCUAUCAGCUUGUUGGUGGGGUAGUGGCCUACCAAGGCGACGACGGGUAGCCGGCCUGAGAGGGCGACCGGCCACAUUGGUCUGAGAUACGGCCCAAACUCCGACGGGAGGCAGCAGUGGGGAAUAUUGCACAAUGUGGGAACCCCUGAGGCAGCAACGCCGCGUGCGGUAGGACGGCUUUCGGGUUGUAAACCGCUUUCAGCCAUGACGCGGUAGGGGCAGAAGAAGCACCGGCUAACUACGUGCCAGCCGCCGCGGUAAUUC
rnacentral:rRNA from 1 species